GGUUUUGCGGGCGUCGAGACACUCAACAACGCGUAAAAAUGUCACUCUUUACGAAUAUUACACAUUAACACAAUAUUACUUCACUAUUACUACACACACACCUAUACAAACAGUUUUAUCUUUUUUAUUAGUAUUCUUUUCAUUAGUAUUUUUAAUAGACGUAGUCUUAUCAUCCUUACCGAUUUCCCGCCUUUUGUAUUUAUCUGUGCACUAAUAUUACUAUUUAUGUAUUUGUACGAGCACGAUCGUACAUCCUGCUGCACCGUCAGCAUCGACCGCCGGGCGACCCAUGAACCCUCAGCGUGCACCGUCGGCACUCUACACCGACGGCACACUAGCAAAUACGUUUCAUUGUGUACAGUAAAUAACUUAUGUAUAAAUAGCAAUAGAAUCAUAACAAUAAACAGAUAUCAACCGUC